UCAUAGCAAGGGCCGGGCAAGACCGGUGCCAGCCGCCGCGGUAACACCGGCGGCUCGAGUGGUAACCGUUAUUAUUGGGUCUAAAGGGUCUGUAGCCGGCCGGAUAAGUCUCUUGAGAAAUCUGGCAGCUUAACUGUCAGGCUUUCAGGAGAUACUGUCUGGCUCGAGGCCGGGAGAGGUGAGAGGUACUUCAGGGGUAGGGGUGAAAUCUUGUAAUCCUUGAAGGACCACCAGUGGCGAAGGCGUCUCACCAGAACGGACCUGACGGCAAGGGACGAAAGCUAGGGGCACGAACCGGAUUAGAUACCCGGGUAGUCCUAGCCGUAAACGAUACUCGCUAGGUGUCGGCCACGGUGCGACCGUUGUCGGUGCCGUAGGGAAGCCG
rnacentral:rRNA from 1 species